rnacentral:rRNA from 1 species
GAUGAACGCUGGCGGCGUGCCUAAUACAUGCAAGUCGAGCGAACGGACGAGAAGCUUGCUUUUCUGAUGUUAGCGGCGGACGGGUGAGUAACACGUGGAUAACCUACCUAUAAGACUGGGAUAACUUCGGGAAACCGGAGCUAAUACCGGAUAAUAUUUUGAACCGCAUGGUUCAAAAGUGAAAGACGGUCUUGCUGUCACUUAUAGAUGGAUCCGCGCUGCAUUAGCUAGUUGGUAAGGUAACGGCUUACCAAGGCAACGAUGCAUAGCCGACCUGAGAGGGGGGUCGGCCACCCUGGAACUGGGAACCGGUCCAAACUCCUACGGGAAGGCGCAGGAGGGAAUCUUCCGCCAUGGGCGAAAGCCUGACGGAGCAACGCCGCGGGAGUUGUGAAGGUCUUCGGAUCGUAAAACUCUGUUAAUAGGGAAGAACAUAUGUGGAAGUAACUGUGCACAUCUUGGCGGUACCUAAUCAGAAAGCCACGGCUAACUACGUU